CACCCCAGCCUGUGUGACCUCACUUGCUCUCUGGCUAUAGCGACAGCCUGGCGGCAGAAGAAGAGUGCUGGGCAUGGGGCGGCAGCUCUUGAAGAACGGAGUCAGAGUUCUGUAAACCCCAGAAACAUGGAACUGGCAGCUCAGAUGAUUUGCCAUGGGAUAAGCACUGGAUCCAAUUUGUUGGUAAAGACUAUCCCGUGAAAACUGGGUUUGGAACGUGACAAACAGGUCUGAGGACCCAUAGCACACACCACUUCCCAUCAUGACCUACUGUCAACUACUGCAGCCUGUUCAGAAGGAAAUAUGCCUGAUCUACACUUAAAAAUGCAGCUCUGAGUGGCACUUACCAAAAACUGAG